UACGGGGGGGCAAGCGUUGUUCGGAAUUACUGGGCGUAAAGGGCUCGUAGGCGGCCAACUAAGUCAGACGUGAAAUCCCUCGGCUUAACCGGGGAACUGCGUCUGAUACUGGAUGGCUUGAGAUUGGGAGAGGGAUGCGGAAUUCCAGGUGUAGCGGUGAAAUGCGUAGAUAUCAGGAGGAACACCUGCGGUGUAGACGGCUUACUGGACCAUAACUGACGCUGAGGCACGAAAGCGUGGGUAGCAAACAGG
rnacentral:rRNA from 1 species